AGCGGCUAACGAGGCCGUCGGCCAUUUUGUGUCUGUUUCCUGUGGGACGUGGUGGUAGCCGUUGGGUCGGAAAAGUGAGCCGUUUUCGUCUCGUUUUUCCUGCUUGUUUUCUUCUCCUUUUUGUCAGUAGAGCGCGGUUAUGGGUCGCAAGAAGAAGAAGCAGCUGAAGCCGUGGUGCUGGUAUUGUAAUAGAGAUUUUGAUGACGAGAAAAUCCUUAUACAGCACCAAAAAGCAAAGCAUUUUAAAUGUCAUAUAUGUCACAAAAAAUUGUACACAGGACCUGGCUUAGCUAUUCAUUGCAUGCAGGUACAUAAAGAGACAAUAGAUGCUGUACCAAAUGCAAUACCUGGGAGAACAGACAUAGAGUUGGAAAUAUAUGGUAUGGAAGGUAUUCCAGAAAAAGACAUGGAUGAAAGACGACGACUUCUUGAACAGAAAACGCAAGCAGAGAGCCAAAAAAAGAAGCAACAAGAUGAUUCUGAUGAGUAUGAUGAUGAUGACUCUGCAGCAUCAACUUCAUUUCAGCCACAGCCUGUUCAGCCUCAACAAGGCUAUAUCCCUCCAAUGGCACAGCCAGGUCUGCCACCAGUCCCGGGGGCACCAGGAAUGCCUCCAGGCAUACCUCCAUUAAUGCCAGGUGUUCCUCCACUGAUGCCAGGGAUGCCUCCAGUUAUGCCAGGCAUGCCACCUGGAUUGCAUCAUCAGAGAAAAUACACCCAGUCAUUUUGCGGUGAAAACAUAAUGAUGCCAAUGGGUGGAAUGAUGCCACCUGGACCAGGAAUCCCACCUCUGAUGCCUGGUAUGCCACCAGGUAUGCCUCCACCUGUUCCACGUCCUGGAAUUCCUCCAAUGACUCAAGCACAGGCUGUUUCAGCACCAGGUAUUCUUAAUAGACCGCCUGCACCAACAGCAACAGUUCCUGCUCCUCAGCCUCCAGUUACUAAGCCUCUUUUCCCCAGUGCUGGACAGAUGGGGACACCUGUAACAAGCUCAAGUACAGCUUCAUCCAAUUCAGAAAGUCUGUCUGCAUCUUCUAAAGCUCUGUUUCCUAGCACAGCACAAGCUCAGGCAGCUGUCCAAGGACCUGUUGGUACAGAUUUCAAGCCUUUAAAUAGUACCCCUGCAACAACUACAGAACCCCCAAAGCCUACAUUCCCUGCUUAUACUCAGUCUACAGCAUCAACCACUAGUACAACAAACAGCACUGCAGCUAAACCAGUGGCUUCAAUAACAAGUAAGCCUGCUACACUUACAACAACCAGUGCAACCAGUAAGUUGAUCCAUCCAGAUGAGGAUAUAUCACUGGAAGAGAGAAGGGCACAGUUACCUAAAUAUCAGCGUAAUCUUCCUCGACCAGGACAGGCUCCUAUUGGUAAUCCACCCGUUGGACCAAUUGGAGGUAUGAUGCCACCACAGCCAGGCAUCCCACAGCAACAAGGAAUGAGACCCCCAAUGCCGCCUCAUGGUCAGUAUGGUGGUCAUCAUCAAGGCAUGCCAGGUUACCUUCCUGGCGCAAUGCCGCCAUAUGGGCAGGGACCGCCAAUGGUGCCCCCAUACCAAGGUGGGCCUCCUCGACCUCCAAUGGGAAUGAGACCUCCUGUAAUGUCGCAAGGUGGCCGUUACUGAUCUUACUUCAUCCAGUCUAAUAGGUUUGGAGAUUAAACCUUUUCUCAACUUGUGCUGUUUAUAUAGCCAAGCUUCCGUCAAUUAAGGCUUCAUUGUGACUUUAACAUUAUCUUCCCACAUACCAGGAACUAUUGGACAUUUAUUUUACAUGGGAAAAAUUAUUUGGAAUAAUAAAGCAGGAACUUUUCCUGAAGUUGCAAUUUAUACUGUAUGGCUUCUUUUUCAUGUUUCAUCUAGGUUUUUAGAAGUGAAGUAUAGUAAAUUUGGUUCGUUAAAUUGUGAAGGCGCUGGAAUUACAUGAACAUACCACCUUAAUAAAGCCCUGCCAUAGGACAGGCUGAGGCUGAGUCUCAGUGUUGCCCUGUUCAGUCUGAGGCAAGUGGGAUUUAUUUUAUUCCUUAUGGGGGCUUUCACAGCUUUAUGGCUGUUGGAUAUUUAUGUCCCCAAACUUGCAGCAAGUUUGGUGAAGGCCCCUAAAUUUAAUUAAAUUUAGGAUUUUUAUAAUUUUUUGGCAGAGAUGGCUCUAUAUUAAUAUUCACGUUUGACUGUGGUGUUAAGAAAGAAGAGCACUUGAUAAUGCUAUUUCACAUGAUUUACUUUGUAUUACAUAGUGUUUAACAACCUCGGUAAAGCUUGAGUUACUUAAUGUAUCGAACUUUAGCAAAUUGACAAAAUUUGAUAAUCUUGAUUUGGAGGCAUGAAACACUUCAUUCAAAUUUUCUACUUUCCCUUUUAGGAAGAUAUUACUGGUUAUUUUCUCCCCAAACUACUAAAUUUAACCUCAAGGAUAAGUUUAAUCAUUGGAAUAACCACUGGAUACUGAAAUCUACAUUCUGAGUCUUAAACUUACGCACUGAACAUUAAGGUUGAAAGGUCAUCUGGAAGUGCUUGUGAUUUUUCAUAUUUUCAAACCUCACCACAUUAGAGCAAAUGUUAAUGUAGAGCCCUGUGAAGAGUGGGAAGGUGGGGUGGGUUUGUGUGUGAUUUGUAUGUAUGGCUGUAGGCUACUCAUGCAAUUUAAUAAAAGAAUAACAAAAGAGUUUGGGUUUUACAAGCCUGUCAGUAUAGAUUGACUAGUUUUCAGUAAGCUAAGCAAGUUGCAUCAUGUGGUAAAGUUACUAGUAUGUUAAAUAUGGUUUUAGAAUGCUUCUUUUGAGGUUCCUUUUUAGCCAUCCUGGACAAUAUUUUAUGCAGUAUGCACACAAGAAAAGUGUCCACUUUCGUUCCCAACUAAAAUUUGCUUUCGUUUGGUGAGAAAAGUUGUAUGUAUGUGUGUUUGCUGGAGAAGGUAAAGAGGGAAUUGAAAGAGAGGCCAAAACAUACACUUGGAUUGCCUUUGUUCUUCAUGACGAUUCUAUCCAGAUAGGAUUUCUUCUCUGAAGAAAUAACAACUAGUACAACCCGGAAUUGUGUUUCUAUGUGGCUUUAGUUCUUGGAAACAAAAAGAAAAAAAUACGUGUUAGUUAAGAGAAUCUCAAAUUUUGACCAGUUUAAUUAAAACAUGUGCUUUUAACUGUUGUAACUGAAUAGGUUAUCUUGAAAAAAUACUUAAACAAGAAUUUUGUUGCUUCCACAACAAAAUAUUCCAUUGGAAUAUUUUACAACCACCUCAGUAAUUACACUUUAUAAGACAGCUUGAUCGGAGAUAAUGUUUUCUCUCACACUUAUAACCCCUCAGUACAUUGAAAUCUCUUGAAGCUGCUUGUCCUAAUUCUGAUAAUGAUCAUUGAAACAAUUGAAGUAGGUUCUUAUUUACUCAGUACUGGGGUGGGAGUAAGAUUUCUAAGAGUGGCAUGAUCUGUUGAAGAGGAUACAGAUAUCUAACUUAAGAUGUAGUUCUUUUGCUGUCUUUGUAGUUCUGUGCCUCAGAUAAGAUUUUGAGAUGUAACUUCCGAGCAUCCAUAAAGUCCACUGGUAAAAAUGGAUAAAUGAAAGAAAAUAUUGAAGUGUCCCUUCUUUACUGAGCUAAAAUUUUGUCUAAGCAUAAACAUUUGUGUUGGUUAGAGGAUAGAAAAUUUUUUUUAUUAAGCGGAUAUGUCUUUUUAGAAAACAGUAUUUACUUGAUAAUGAAUAACCUUUGCAGUUUAUUCCAAAAUGAAACUGGUUUUCUCUUACUAUAACUUUUAUAGAAAUGUCAUCUGAAAAUGGGGUUUCACUUAUGCUACUACUGACUAUUGAGGACAGAGUUUUACAGUUACAAUUCUGGUAGCUGUCAUGUGACUUGACUAUUAGGGAAGGUUGCUCCCCCCUUUUUUUUUUUGCACUCCUUUUUUAGUAUUUUGCUUUCUCUCAUAAUUUCAAUAGGAACCUUUUGUAGUUUGUAGCAUAGAAAUCAUCUGACUUUUUUUGUGAUACUUUUCCGUAAAACAAGAAGCCUUUAUUUUAAUGGUGGUUGUAUAUAGUGUCAUGAAUAUAGUGGAUAGUCACAAUUUUAUAAUUAAUGCUAAGUUCUUAAAACUAUACUUUUAAUAUAGUAAGCCCUUAGUUUGAAGUUUCUGAAAUUUUUUUUUUUUUUUUAAACCUGUUCAUAUGAUGUAGUCUCGGGGAACAUAUUCUAUUAAGCAGAAUGUAAAAAGUCAGUUUAAGGCAGCAACUGGAGACCUAAAGGAAGCCUUUACUGAAGUUAAUUUGAACUCUUUUACUUGAAGCAAAUCGAACAAUAGUAUUAUAAAUCAUUAAAUGGAAACUUUCAUGGUUAGUUUUUUUUUAGGAGGCGUAAUCACCAGCUGUGUUAAUAAGAAUAUGUUUGUGUAUGUUUCAAUUUGACCAAAUUUAACUACAGAAGAUUCAUGUGUGUAAACUAUUUUAACAGUGGAUCAGUUACUUGGACCCUGCUCGUUAAUUCUGAACAUUGUAAUGGUGUUGUAAGGUUGUCGUACAACACAGCUUCAGUAAUGCAAAGUGUUUGCUCAGUGGUUUGUGUUAUGCUGUGUUUGUAAAAAGGUGGAAGUCCUUUAUUGGCGUUCGCUAAGCCCGCUGCCAUUGUUAAAACGUUUGGAGUCUUACCAUUAUUACGGUUACAGAAUCCUCAGAGUUACCUGCCUUCACCUUUGGUUAAAUUUAAGGAGAAUUUUGAGGAACUGGCAAUGAAGUUCAUUGAUGCCCAACUUGGAUAAAAAUGAAGAAUGAUGUUUCCCUAAGUUUACGACACACAGACCUUGAGUAUUUGGGAGAAGAGGUCAUUAUAUAGUAUAUUAGACUUGAGAACCUGAAAUGAAAUGAAAGAUAAUAGCAUUCCUGUUGUUGGUUUGCAUUUGUUACUGAGGUUUCACUAAAGUAUUUCUUUUCAUGUAGAUGUUUCUUAACAUUUUAUUCAUAAAUAGUUAAGGAGUUUAUUACUCAGAUCAAAACAAACAAGAUUUGCCACAUCAUUUCCCAGUCUCUACUAUUAGUAAAAUGAGGCUGCUUAACUACCCAAGUGGACCAAGGAAGGAGUUAUUUAUUAGUUCAAAAUUAUUAAGUUCCUGUAAGUUUGAGUUAAAAAAAAUAUGGCAUACCUAGUUAUGGAGCAGAAAGCUCCCCAUUGAGCUUUUAUUUAGUUAGUAUAGUCUUUAAGGAGAAGCAAUAGAAUUUGCUUUUCAGCCCAUGUUUUUAAAAUUGAAAAUCUCUAUUAUAAGCAAAUGAAAUCAAGUUUUUUUUUUUAAUUUAAUUAAAAACGAUUACAAAUUGUUUGCCCUGUGUGGUACCUGUGCUUAAAUUGAGAGAUUACCACAUGUUUAAGAGAUUAUUUUUUUCUUGCUUCCUGCUAUUCAUUACCCCAUUUUUUAGAGUAAACCAAAAUUCACAUCAUCAUUCACAUAUUGGAAUACCUAGUUUAUUAAAAUUGAGACGUCCGAGAGAGAGUGUUGUUAACUCAUUCUCAUAAGGUCACUCUAAAUUUAAUAGCUAAUGUAAGGUAACCUUGUAAGACUUAGGGAAGAAAGUUUUAUAUGUAUAAAUAUCAGGCUCUGAGGAAAUUUAAUGCACAUUGACUUUUUAAACUAUGGGUUGAACUCCUCAGUUUAACACAAUUUGUGUUUUUGUUAACUAGCAGCAGAAUUUCAGCAUUUGCUACUUACUGGUAGAGAAGAAAAAUCCCACAGCCCUGCCAGUACAGGUUAGUUUAAUCUGUAAGUACCUGAUGUUCCUAUUUUUUUCAAACAUAUCCAUAUAACCCACACAAAGGAAGAAAGCUGUGCAGUUACUUAAAUGUGAGUAUAACUAAUAAUAGACCCAUUGGACACUUAGAAACACUCAGCAUUUGGGCCAAAGCAGCUCUAGGUUUGCUAAAACUCAGUUCUAAUAAAGGUGUUAUACUGCUCCUUUAUUCACUGUCUGGUUGAGGUUGAACCAAAAUAGCUAUGUUUUACGUAAAAAGAAAAGACGGCAAAAUUUUUGAUUGACCUUGCCCAUGUUGGUAUAUAAUAUGGAGUCCCACAGGGCUUUGGGUCUGUCUUUUACGUAAACCGCUCCCAUGGUGGGUCUCAUACUCGCCCUUUAACUUUUUACAGUAUGAAUCAACCUCAGAAAAAAGAUGUUUGCUCAUUUUUAGCAAUGAUAAAAUGGUGUACAAUCAUAAUCUAGAAAAUGUUUUUUUACUGCUUUUUUCUUAAAUGUUUUUGGUAGCUCUUGCUGUUAAGUACUAAUUUUUUUUUGCUCAUCUUUUUUGUGAACUGUAACCUGUUGGUGCACCACUGUGGAUUCAUUUUACUUUGGACUAAAAAAUAACCUUAUUUUUUAAGUAUUCAAAUGAAAGCAGGCUAUCCAUCAAGAAAUCUAAACAGAUUCUUUGUGCAGUCCUUUUGAGGGUCAGUGGGAAUAUAAUGGGUAGUGAAAGAUGUAUUAAAAUUUUUAUUUCUCAUUCUAGCAAAGUUCAGUGUCUUGAAUCAUCCUGAGAGAUUUUCUUUAACCUUUAGAUACUGUGUUUCUUAUGUUGAUACAAACUUAAAAAACCAAGUGUAACUUAAUUUCUACAAGUAUGAACCAUCCUUCAAAUCUGUUGUUGUUAUUAGGUGCCGUUGAGUUGGUUCCAACUCACAGUGACCCUGUGUACAACGGAAUGAAACAGUGCCUGGUCAUGUGUCAUCCUUACAGUGGUUGAUAUGUUUGAGCCCAUUGUUGCAGCCACUGUGUCAGUCUCUCGCUGCAUUGACUUACUGACGUAUGGCUUCAAUAAUGUCUAAUUUGCGAAAAUAUGCACUAAAACUAACUGAUCUUGUGCAGCGAUUAGCCACUGAAAACAGACUGUCUGAAUGUCGUUUUAUAUAGAACUCAUGCAUUCGGUUAGCUAACUUAUAAAAUUGAUAAGAUAGCCACUUUUUUUUUUUUUAAUAAAAUUGCCUUGAGGGCUUAAGUUUCAUUGCCUUUCACAGUUUAAUCUAUAUAAGAAAUGGCGUAGACACAGUCGAAAUGGUUUUCCUUAAAAACCCUCUCUGUAAAGCUGUCUUUCUGGUGAGUACUAUCUUAUACUUUUGUAUGUCGCAAUUUUACCUUUUAUAAAUUAAUGGAAAUGAGGAACUUUGAUCAAAGAAGUGAACAAUCUGAAUGUCUACAUCUCUUUGGAUAUUACCUGAACCAGGAAUAUUAAGAAAGUGAUUACUGCUUGACAUUUUCCCACUAAUUCCUGGUUCACUUUUUUCUUAUCUUCACAUAGCAGACUAUAAAUAGCUGCAUAAACUUACUAUUUGUUUUGCAUAUGAUUCAUGUAAAUGGCGACAGUGAACUAUACAUGUAAAAAAUGUUGAAUUGUCAAAUAGGUUAUUUUUUUUUUAAAUUGUGUUUUAGGUCAAAGUUUACACAGCAAAUUAGGUUUUUAACAAUUUUUACAAUGUGUCAGAAUUCUCAUUAUUUCCAUUCCGUUUGUUCUGUUUUCCAUUGAUCUGAACUCCCUUUCCCUUCUUGCCUUCUCAUCUUUGCUUUUGGGUAAAUGUUGACCCUUUGGUCUUAUAGAGUUCAUUGUUUAAGGGAGCAUAUUACUGCAUAAACUUUGAUCGCAUAUUGUCUAGCACUGAAACUUUUUAAAUUCUAAUCUUAAGGUUUUCUGUUUAGUCGACAGUCAAAGUUUUUUCUCAGUGCUUUUGGUUCCUAUAUCGCAUAGGUGUUAAUUAAAAUACCCGAAUUUUUUUCUAUUCUUGUUGAAGCCGUUGCAGUGAUUUAUGGGCAAUUAAGCUGAGGUUAGGGUUGAAGGAGGGUUUACCUAAAUUGGUCAUGCAGACCAUUUGCUUACAAGGUCCUCUUUGAGGCUUGAAAUUUUCAAGUGUAUUGUUUCUUAAACAUUCUAACCCUGCAUGAAAUACUUGGGUUAGAAAUACUGAUUGGCCUCUGAGUAUAUUCAUAAUUUAUUCCCUCAGUGUAAUGCAUAAGUUUUUUCCCCUUCUGCUUUUUAGCCACAUCCUAGCUGAUGUCAAUAUAAGGAUGUUUUCACAUUGUAUUUCCUGCUGUGGUCUUUGCGAAUCAAUAAAAGAACAGUCAAAUCUGCUUUUUAGUAUGAGCAAUGGUAGUCUUCUAAAAUAAAUCUGAAGAUUGAUAUGUGCAUAU